CCCCUGCUUCCGUUCACCAUAGCUGAGAAUGGGAGAAACUUUGUUUUUCAACUCUUCACAUUUUCUCCAAAUCAAACCAAAACUUCGACUCCAAACUUAGAUUUCUUGAUAAAAUCAAGUAGAAAAUUUGAUUCCAAGCUCAUUUCCUCCAUCAACUCCACCAUUCAAGCUUAGAGUUUUAUGGGUUCAUGAGAGAGAAAGCUACCAUAAAAAAUUGAAAGGACUGUUCGAAGUAGACUUCGAGAACAAAUAAAUAUGGCUUUACCAGGGAACAAUGCAGCCAUACCCUUGAUGCAACAGCAAAAUGUUAAUAACCUAUUGUUGCCACAAGAUGCUCGCAUACAAAAAUAGGAAUAUAUGAGAUUUUGUAGUGCCUGUCUUGGAUGAUUUACAACCAGGAGUUGUUAGGCCAGCAAUCCAAGCUGGGAAUUUUGAACUCAAGCUAGUAAUGUUUCAAAUGUUGAAUUCUAAUGCACAAUAUGUUGGAAUACCACAUGAAGAUUCAAAAGAACAUCUUAAAUCCUUUUUAUUGAUCUGUGCUUCCUUUAGUCAAGAA